ACCGUGAAAACCGGUAAUUCCUGAUUACUAUGAUUAUGAUUGGUGCAUUUGCGAUUCGACUCGUUGCGAUAGGUGUAUUGUGAUUGGUUCUUGACAUUCCAGACUCUCUAGUUCUAGGGGGAUGCGUAGAGAUGGCGGUAGUUCCGCACGUGUCUCUUCUCCUAUAUCAGAUUCAACCAUCCUGGUGGUAGCGUUGGCAGCCCUGUGAUCCCUGUGACGUUGAAUUCUGUUUGCGUUUGAAAAUGUGAAGAGUAUAAGUAAUGUUUAUGUUAUAUAAUUAUUCGGAAUUAAGACUUGUAAUCCGUAUAUCUUCAAUAAUACAGUUGUGUCAAGUUUUUAAGUAUUAAUUAUUCAUGUAAAAUUGGUUGUCAUGAAGUGCAUGCAGUCAAAAUGAGUAGCUCCCCAGUUAGCAAGAAAGGACGCGUAUGCAGAGAAUACGAUAUUUCUGAACUCUCACAGAAUUUUGAAAGACUGAAUACGAGCUUAUCAAAGAUUGCUGAACUCCAUGGAAGUCUACUUUUAUACAAUAUGAAUAUUGUUAAAUACAUUAAGCAGCUUCAAUGUCAUCUUGCAGAUGUGAAGCAUGAGUAUAAGAAGAGCAGUGAACAGUGAAUUAUAGAUGUUUACAGAUAUUCACUUUGCCAUGGCGGGUACUGAUAAUGAAAAGCAGGCUGAUAUAAAUUUUUCUGAAGUAUUUUGCAGUUUGCUGGAUAAUCAUUGUGAUCAGUUAGAAGCAUAUCUUGCUGAUGAUGCUGUAUUACAUUGGUUUGGGCAUAGAAUCAGCAGCAAGAAUUCAGUUAUUU